rnacentral:rRNA from 1 species
AACGAACGCUGGCGGCGCGCCUAACACAUGCAAGUCGAACGAGAAUCCGGGGCAACCCGGUAGUAAAGUGGCAAACGGGUGAGGAAUGCAUGGGUAACCUACCCUUGAGAAGGGAAUAACCCGCCGAAAGGUGAGCUAAUACCCUAUACGCUUCUCUUUUUAUGAAGAGGGAAGGAAAGCUAAGCCGUGGGCUUGGCACUCAAGGAGGGGCUCAUGUCCUAUCAGCUUGUUGGUGGGGUAACGGCCUACCAAGGCUACGACGGGUAGCUGGUGUGAGAGGAUGAUCAGCCACACUGGCACUGAGAUACGGGCCAGACUCCUACGGGAGGCAGCAGUGAGGAAUAUUGCGCAAUGGGCGAAAGCCUGACGCAGCGACGCCGCGUGGGGGAUGAAGGUUUUCGGAUUGUAAACCCCUUUUGUGAGGAAAGAGAAAGUGGGUAACCACUUAGACGGUACCUCAAGAAAAAGCCACGGCUAACUUCGUGCCAGCAGCCGCGGUAAUACGAAGGUGGCGAGCGUUGUUCGGAUUUACUGGGCGUAAAGAGCACGUAGGCGGUUGGGUAAGCCUCUUGGGAAAGCUUCCGGCUUAACCGGGAAAGGUCGAGGGGAACUACUC